rnacentral:rRNA from 1 species
UACGGAGGGUGCAAGCGUUGUUCGGAAUUAUUGGGCGUAAAGGGCAGGUAGGUGGUCUUGAAAGUCUACUGUGAAAUCCCCGGGCUUAACCUGGGAAGUGCGGUGGAUACUCCAAGACUAGAGUGCUGGAGGGGUGCGUGGAAUUCCCGGUGUAGCGGUGAAAUGCGUAGAUAUCAGGAGGAACACCAAUAGCGAAGGCAGCUCGCUGGGACGUUACUGACACUGAGGCGCGAAAGCGUGGGGAGCGAACAGG